rnacentral:lncRNA from 1 species
GUUUAGAUGGACAAUCAAUUCGUCCAGCCCUAAUUUGAUGCAAGAAGAAUUCCUUGUUUUUUAAAAAGAUGAACUACUAAAUUUUCCUUUUCCCAUCAAUAUCUCUACGAUUUAAUAGAUUUUGAUCUCAACAAAGUUUAUUAUAUCGUAAAAAUAGCGAGUAAUUUCUUCCUGGAUAGAAAUUUGGAACGCUAAAACCAUCAACUUUUAAAUUGAAGCUGGGUGAAGUAGUUAAACAACACGGCCAAUAAAUUCCAUCCAGAAAGCCAAAUGGUCAAAGCAUUCUUUCUAUAAACCAAUGGCAAACAGUCCGUUCAAAACCUACAUUGUUAGUUAGUUCAUAAAGAAUUUAAAAUCCAGUAACAGAUUUUUUUUUUUUUUUGUGGAAAAUAUCAAACUAUUUCCAGUAAUGGCGUCGCGGGUAAAUCUUCUUUCAACUACCGGCGGUGGAGAACCCACUAACCGAGGUUAAAACCGAAGAAGAGGAGGAAUCCCUCAGAGAUCCAUGUCAAAUCAUUCACAAAGCGUCAUACGGCACUUGCAAUUUCAAGGAUUUCCUCAUUGGGACAAAAUCAAAAAGUAGAAAAAACAAUUUAAGAAAAAUAAUAAUAACAAAACGCCAUGAACCUACUUGGGAAACUGAAACUAAGAAAGAAGAUGGAAUUAGAGUAGAAGGCAAAUGUGAGAAUUGAGAAGCAGUAGAUUGAGUACAUAUAGACGUCGAGCAAAAACCCUAAUGGGGAACGCUUCCCUUUUUCGGGCUUUUGUAUGAAGAUUUAAGCCUUUGGGCCUCUCCUCCGGCCCCUAAUAUUUUCUGUUACACUUUUAUAAAUUUUGGUUUUUCUUGUAGGAGCCACCGGAUAAAUACCAAAAAAUAAUGUUUACUAUGUAAAAAUAGAAAAUUUUAUUUUAAUUAUAAAAAUGACAAAAACGAAAUAAAUAAAAUAAGAAAUACACCAUAAAUUUUUUAUUUUUUACCAAAAAGAAAACCCAAAAUCUUUUCAUCUUCAGUGGUGGACCCCUUGAACGUUCAAAACCUUGACAAUUGUGACAACAAAACCAAGGGGACUCUGUCCAUCAUCCCAAACUUGAGAUAUUUAAAAUUAACAAAUUGGAAGAUAUUAGAUUAUUAUAAAGAGGGAUACAAUUUAUAAAUAAAUAUUCAUUUAUUUUAGGAUAAUGAAUAUUAACAGAUUUUGACCCUACUUAUAGGGAGAAUAAAAUGUAACUAAUCAAUAUUUAAAAAUGAUUAUCUAUCUAAUAAAUUUAAAUAAAUAUUAAGGAUAUGAAAAAAAAUAGACAAGUGAAGGAAGAAAGGGUAAGUGAACGAUUAAGAGUUGUGUUUGAAUAAACCGGCUUCAAAAGAACCAAUAUCUUUGACAAGUGGGGACUAGGUAUGCAUUCCAUCUCUUUUAUCAAAAGUAACAAAAGAACUACUGUAAUUGUUGUUGGUAAAUAUAAUUUAUUGAUUGUUAUUAAUAAAAUGUUAUUAUUAUAAUAAAUGUUAUUGAUUAUAUUAUUAGUUUUGUCUUAAUAACUCAAAUCCAAUAAACUUACAUCCUAAGCUAUUUGAUAAGUCUUGAACAUAAUGUAAAUAUAUAUGGAUCAAUAUUAACUUAAAUGGUAUAUAGUGUAGGGAUAAGGUUGGGUACUUUAUCUUGGUAACACUAUGGAUACGGCUCACUUUGUAUUUGAUACAAACGUGCAAUGAUCCAACGUGUUCAUGUAGUUUACAUGCGAGGUGAGGUUGCUAUUGUGAUGGGUACUAAAGGAAAGAGAGUUAUAAAUAUGUAAAAGAAAAAAUAGUUUUUCUAGAAGCCAAUGUUUUUGUUUUCUGCAAAAAUAGUUUCCCUCUAAACUUUUUUCCAUCCUAAUUGGUUCCUACAAUCCAAUCUCAUCCCAAACAAUAGGUAGAUCUCUGAGGAGUGAUGUCCCAAUUUAGAGAUUUUGUAGAUUUAGAAGUGCCAAACUACCUAAGUUUUACAUUCUAUGUAUCUUUUAAUUUAAAAGUAUGCUUAGUUUUUAAAAAUUUGUUUCUAAAUAUUGUCAAUGCUUGGUAUUUUGGAAUUUCCAAAUUAAAUGGAAUAAUAGUUCUAUAAAAUCUUUCAUUGCCUAAGGCAUUUAUCCCUUCCAUGGAUAUCAGAGUCAUCUCAAAUUUUAAUUAAGAAUUUUAAAAAAUGCAUUACUUAGGUGAGAUUUUUGCAUUAUGAAUGUGGCUUGCAAUUUGAUGUUUUAUGUAAAAUUUGACCAUAGUUUUACAACUUUUUAUAUGAUCAUGUAAAGGUCAGUGCAUUUUUGGAUAAUUUUAAUUUUAAACUUGUAAUUUUGAGUCCAAUUUUAAGAUUAGUGGUAUUUUUUUUGAGAAAAACAGUACCAAAUUUGCCUAAAGCGGAUCACCGAAAGGCCUUCACUAGGAGGAAUUACGUAACUGCACGGAAAUCGAGGAGAAAAAAAUUUCACACGCGUAUGAAAGUAGGACUGACAUCAACAACACAACUAUCAACAACUUAUGUGCACGACAUAGAUGAAUUUUGAACUGACCCAUAACAACAAAACUAUCAGCAACUUGUACAACAAACUGGAGACAAUGAUCCGGCUCUCAAAUCAUGACUUUUUCGGGAUGAGAUCAAAUCAGUGAUAUUCUCCUUUGACAACAACAAAGUCCCUAGUUCUGAUGGCUUCCUUAGGCAUUUCUACAAGAAUUUCUGGAACAUCCUAAAAACAGACAUCCUCACACCUUUUCUAAUACUAUCAACGAGAACCAACUUGCUUUUGUGGAGGGCAGACAAAUAACUGAUGCAAUCCUUAUGGUCAAUGAAGCAGUUGAUUUUUGGAGAGUGAGUAAAAAGAAAGAUUUUGUCAUCAAGCUGGAUAUUGAAAAAAGCCUUUGACAAACUUAGUUGGGGCUUCAUUGAUUAUAUGCCCAGGGUCAAGAAUUACCCAUCCACUUGGAGAAAAUGGAUUUAGGUUUGCAUCAGUAAUGUCAAAUAUUCAGUGUUGAUCAACGAGAAGGCAUACAAUCAAGUUCCAUCAAAUAGGGGUAUCAGGCAAGGAGACCCUAUUUCUCUUUUUAGCUUUGUGCUGGUAAUGGACUAUCUUAGUAGGCUCUUGAAGUAUUUAGAGAAAACGGAUGCGAUAAAAUGUGUUUUUUUCAACUAGAAUUGCAUCCUUUCACAUAUUUUCUUUGCAGACGAUAUUCUCUUUUAAAACCUCUGUAUGGCAAUUAUUUUCUUUGAAAGAGCCUUAGGUCUCAACAUUAGUCAUACAAAAUUCUCCAUUUUUUCUAUGAAUGUAGCUUCGAUCCGAGCCAAUGAUGUUGCAAACACUUGGAAGAUUCCAAUCCACAACCUCCCUACCUAAUAUUUGGGAGUCCCUCUUAGAGGCAACCGUUUAUCCAAAGCUUUCUAGGAGAAUGUCGAGGAAAAAUUCCACAAAAAGCUCAGCAAAUGGAAGUACUCACACAUAUCCAAAGGAGGUAGGCUCACUUUGAUCAAAUCUUCGUUAUGCAGUCUUCCCACUUACCAUCUUUCAAUGUUUAAGGCUUCAACAUUUGUAUACAAAAAUAUAGAAAAACAUUGGAAAAAUUUUCUUUGGAAGGGGUCCUCUGAUAAAAAAUUAAAGGCUCGCAUCUAAUAAAGUGGACUAAAGUCAUAAGUCCUCGUGAUAAAGGAGGCUUAGGUAUCGCUAGCAUGAAGAUGACCAAUUUUGCUUUGCUAUGAAAAUGGUUAUGGAUAUACCAAAUGGAACCAAAUACCCUCUGAAGAAAAAUUGUUCAAGCUAAGCACCACAACAAUUGUAUUGGUUCUAUCCUUAUUGAUAGCAAAAGUUGCAGUGCAAAAGCCCCUUGGAAAGUUAUUGUUAAAGAUCUGAGCUGGUUUGAAAAUCACUAUGAAUGAGAAAUCAACAAUGGUGAACUCAUCUCCUUCUGGCAUGGAAACUGGCAUCCUCUUAACCCACAAUCCAUCCAAUUCCCACAGUUCUUUGUCCUCUGCCAAUCCAAAAAUGCUUAUUUUAAAGAUCUUUGAGACAACUCAAACAACUAGUGGUUAUUAAAUCCCAGAAGACCAUUCAAUGCCAGAGAAUCACAAACUUGGGAUGAGAUGAAGAGCAUUCUUCCAACACCUUGUGCCAACAAAGGAAUAAGCAAACCAAUAUGGGAUCUCAGUAAAGAUAGACAAUUCUUCAUUGCCUAUAUCAAGAACGCAUUAGUUACUGAUAUUCAAUCCAUUCUCAUGGGCUUUGAUCAUCAUCACUUCUCAAACCUCUGGAAGGCGGUCAUUCCAAAUAAAUGCAAUUUUUUCACUUGGUGUAUCAUUCAUGGGGGAAUUAAUAUUAUGGAGCUAUGGCAAAAGAGAAAUUUGAGCACUUGUCUUAACCCUCACUGGUGCUCUCUUUGUCAGUCAAACAACGAGGAGAUUGAUCACUGCUUUUAUUAGUUGCAGGACCACUGCUUUUCUUUGGGACGCUUACUCAAUUUUACAAAAUCACCCAAAAGAAAUGUCAUUCUCUUUAGUGCUGCAAUCGCUAUUCUAUGGAGCUCUUGGCUGGAAAAAAAAUAACAGGAUCUUCAAAGACAAACAAAAAAGUCUUCUAAACCUUUGGGAAGAUUGUUGUAAUUACAUAGGCCUUUGCUGUAGUAGACACAAACUCUUUAAAGACUAUAAGGCUCACCCCAUACCUCUCAAUUUCCAAACUUUUUCUCAACUAAUGUUCUUUGGGCUCUCCUUCACCCCUCUGUACUUCUCUCUUAAUAUUAAUAAAUUUAUGGUGUUUGAGCUUUGCUCUCACUUUGUUUUCUCUUUAAAAAAAUCUAAACAAUCGAGACUAUUUACCAAAUCUAUUGUACAUGAGUGGUCAAUUAAUCGCAUGUCGACCAGAACGUUUUUUUGUGUUUUUCAUUAUGGGUCUACAGACUUUUUUUCAUUUUCAAAAUUGUUCUAUACAAUGUAAAUAUUUUUCCGAUUUAUUAUAUUAUUUUUUAAAAAAUUUCAAAAUAAGUCAACAAUUUCGUUUCAAUUCUAGAUUUAGUAAUACUUAUGCUCAUUUGUGUGUAUAUUUAUGUACAUUUUGAUUUAAUUAAGAUCAAUUAAGAAUUAAAUCAAAUGAUUAAGAUUUGUAUACUUUUUUUUAAACAGACAAAAAUGAACCAAAUCAAUAAAUUUUAAAAUGAUUCAAAUUCAAACAUUAAAAAAGAGAGAAAAAAGGAAAUAAAACAUAAUCAUUCAAACAAAUAAAAAAUAUUUAAUAAAAACCAUUACAAUAUACAUAUCUCAAAUAAAUAGAAUUAAAAUGGAGUUUUUUUCAAACAUAUUUAAUUGGAUUCAUUCUUGAAUUAAAAAAAUAACCCAAAUAUAAGAAUUAGAUUUAAAAUAAUAAAGUAUAUAAUAUUUUAAAACAAUUAUAAAUAUAGCAAAAUCUGCAAAAAUAUAUUACGGUAGACUAUAUUACAAAUACUACUGAUAUACUAUAAAAGUUUGUAAACUUUGUUAUAUUUAUAUUUUUUUUAAAUAUUGUUAUAUACCUAAUUAAUACCUCUAAAAUUACUACUAUCGACUUGUAAUGAGUUGUAAUAAAGAAGUAUUUACUCAAGUUUAAUAAAUCCAUAAGAACUAAAUUAUAAAUGGGAUCGUAAACAAUAUGAAAAGAAAAAAUUAUGUGGGGUGGCCUACUCAUAUAUAUAUAUAUAUAUGAAUAUUCUAACUUUUCUCUAAACCAUUUACAAUUUAUUAUUAAAGAAAAAAGAAUCUAAAAAGAAUUAAAAUGAUAAACUCUAAAAUGUUGCCGUUGGCUUCCUUUAUCAGGCCCCACGUUUUCAGCCACAAUCAAAAUUUGAAAAGAAGAAGACAAAGGUCAAACGGUGUCGUAAAGGAAGCUUUCUCCCACCCAACGGCUCGAUUGGGCAUGGGCUUCAGUGGAUGGGCACUACCGAAAUUUCCUCCUUCAAAAAUCAAAUUCAAAACCACGACUUGAACUUAAACAUUUUCAGAAAUCCGAUUCUGUACUCUAAGAUCUUCCAUUAAACCAAUCUCCUCCAUGGAUUUCACUCCUCCUUCUCACCGAUCCGACCCUCGAUCUCGCACAAAAUCAUCCUCACGCCUCGCCGUUGAAGCCGACCAAACACCCCAUUUCUCAGUCGACGCCAUUUCUUCGCCGCGAAGGAAAACCCCUUCCCCUUCCAUCCAGGACAUCUUGUUUCUUUCUCCUUCCACUGUCGGAAAAUCCAGGUCCCGUCUCGUGGAUCGCUUCGAAAUGAACGACGAAGUUCCGGAGCCCGCCGUCUCACGGAGAAGGUGUAGAAACCGUGGCCCCCAAUUGGGUCUUAUGGGUUGUGCUUCUCCGAGGAGUAUUAGAAGGUCAAGAAGACGAUCUGAGGUGGAGACUAGAGAAGAGAGAGAUUUGUGUUUAGCGGAAGAGUUUGUGAAGGCUAGAAAGAGGAAACAGAGCGGGAGGUCGAAGAAGGAGAAGCUCAGUUUGGUUCCAGUUCCAUCGACGCCUUCGAGUUCAACGACUCCAAGUAUAUCUAAGAUUUCUCUAUUUGGUGUUCUUGAUUGAUUUGGUUUCUAUCUGUUCUGAUUUGAUUUGUAUGUGUUUAUUAGAACUUGAUAAUGAUGAGAAUGGUAGUUUGGAUCAAAUUGGGCAGCUGAUAACUGAUCUGAUAAUGUGGAAAGAUGUGGCUAAGUCAAGCCUUUGGUUUGGACUUGGCUCUUUGUUUUUCUUCUCCACUUGCUUCACUCGAGGAGUUAGCUUUAGGUCUGCGUCUUAAACUCGAAUAAAUCGUUAACCAUUGUACAUUUCUGCGAAUGUUUGAUCAUCUAUUAACAGCUCUAAUAUUGAUAAUUACAGCAUUUUCUCAGCAAUUUCCCAGCUUGGACUUCUGUUUUUGGGUCUUGCAUUUGUCUCCAAUUCAAUCUGUCAAAGGUACAGUUUCUAAUGAAUCUUUAAUCACCUCAAAAUCUGUUAAGAGAGUUCCUAAUGUUUAUAAGAUAGAUGGUCAUUCCUCCCAUUAUUAAUUGGGUUUGAUAAAAUCCAAUUGAUUCUUGUUAUAAGGUAAAAUUUGAAAUUGUAGGAACAAUGAUGAAAAGAAACAUAAAGACUUCAAGCUUAAAGAAGAUGACAUAAAACGCUUGGUGAAACUGGUUCUUCCGGCUGCAAAUUUCGCCAUUUUCAAGAUUCGGGAGCUUUUCUGUGGAGAGGCAGAGAUGACCUUGAAAGUAACCAUAAAACUCAACAUCUAUGAUCAUUGAACAAUUUCAAUUAACUAAUCAUAUAAACUUCAGUGGUUGGAUGUUUAAUGGAUUUAAGUAUUUCUGGGGUUUUUCAGGUAGCUCCAUUUCUCAUUUUAGGAGCUGAAUAUGGAUAUCUUAUUACUCUUAGAAGACUCUGUGCAAUUGGUAUAAUACAACAGAAAAAUCAUUUCAGAACUUGCUUAAAAAUCUCUUGUUGAUUUAUGAUCGCUACUUUAAUCUUCAUUCACUUUCAGGGUUCUUUAGCAGUUUCUCUGUGCCAAAGCUGUAUACAUGUUACCAGAUUCAGAUAAACAGCAAAGGUAAAUAGGAAUUCUAGGAAACACCCACUUAAAUAUAGCUACUUCUGCAUUUUGUAUGUAAAAUGUGAUGCUGAAAAAGAAGAAUGAUGAUGGUGGUGGUAUUUUACAGUGGAUGCCGUAAAACAAUGGAUGUUUGAAGCAUGGGAAGCUUGCUCACAUAAGAAGGUUGUGAUAGGAUCAGCAGCCACAGCGUUUUGGAACUUUUCUUCCCUGAAGACCCGAAUUUUCACAGGUAACAAUCAUGUUAGAUGAUCUUAGUUUCUUCAAUCUCCAUUGUUCUAGCUUAAUAAAGGAUGAUUAUUAAGCUCUGUCAGGUUUUGUUUGUUACAGCUUUCAUUGUUCUAGUCAUAGUUCGAUACUGCCGGCAAUUUAUAGUGUCGUCAGAACCGGAAAUUGAAGAAGUACAAGAGGAUGAGAAGCAGGCAUUGGUUGUGGUAGAAGCAGGCAAGGAGGAGGAGCAGAAGCAAGUUCAAGUGGUGGCGGAACCCCAUUGUUAGCUGUGAUUUGGCUUUAGAGUUUUUUUUACUGCCAACACUGAAGUGUAUAAUAAACAAAUGGGCUGUUUAGAGCUUUUUUACCUCUUAAAUUUAAUUGAUUGAUUUAAAGCUCAAACAUCUUUUGGCCAGAAAAUCUCAAAUUAUGAAUUGAAUUUUGACACCAGUAACUCUCUUUUCAAUUGACGUGAAAAGAGUGCUUACAAAAGUUUAUUUCGAGUGUUUUCAAAUACUUUAUAAAAAAUUUCAAAAUGACUCAUUUUUUAAAUUAAAUCGGAGAUAAACCACAAUUUCCUACGUCAAAUUUACUAGCAUGACCUUUGCUGGUUAACCACCACGAUAAGUUUGUCUCUUUUUUUUUGAGUAUUUUUAGUCUCUUUUUAUGUUAAAGAAUAAGUUUAAAGGCUACUUUAAUCAUUAUAAUUUUAGUUUUGAUUCAUUUUGGUUUCUAAAAGUUGAUGUUCAUUUUCUUGAAAGUUCAUACUUGAUUUAUGUUGGUUAUUAUACUUUAAAAAAGUGUUCAUUAUAUUUUGGAACCAAAAUUUGAAGUAGAAGAAUCAAAAUCAAACAUUUUGAAAGUAUAUGAACCAAAAUUAAAAGUAUAAGGACUAAAAUGACCAUUUUAAAAGUACAAGAAUGAAAAUGAACCAAAGUUAAUAGUAUAAAAACCAAAUUACUAUUUAAACAACAUUAGGUGGUUCUUAAAAGGUGAAAAUAGCAAUCAAACGAUUUCUUGGUCCUAGGCACAUUCAGGUUCUACUGAACUAAGCUCUUGAUGACUAAUUAAACACGAUAUUCAUAACUUAAAAGACUUGAGUUUUAAAAGUUAUAUCUUUGAAGCUAAAAAAUUCAACUGAUUUGUUGUUGGUUCUGGAUCACGAACUCAACUUGGACAACCACAAGAUCUUCCCUCCAAUUCUUAUGACUUGGAGUUAGUUGGUGGGAACUAGUUUGAUAUCAAAUUUAAGAACAAGUAUGAGAGAACUCUUGGUAUUUUGCUUAGUUUUCAUAAAAUUCCAGCAAUUAGCAUUAGGAAUUAAUCUAACUAAAUCCAUCUAAUAAGCAUUAGUCAUGCAAGUUAAGCAUGUAAAAAGCUCACAAUAACUUGACACUUCAAAUUCGAUUAAGCUUAAUCAAGCUUAAUGAGGCACAUUCAUGAAGAUCACUUAAAAGACGAUCUUGGAUCAUUCAACUGUUUGGAAAUUGGAGUAUCUUAUAUACUUAUAUAAUAUUUAUAAUUUAAUUAAUCAGACUGAAUAACUUAUAAUUUUAAUUAUAUAAUAAAGAAUAAAAAAUAAUUUGUGAAAAAUACUCGUUUGGUCGAGGUUUUAGGUUUAAUUUCUAUUUAACCUUAUGUUUCCAAAUCAAGUACUUAUAUCCCUAAGAUUUGAAUAACACUCAAUUUUAUUCCUUGAGGUAACGAAAUCGUUAGUGAUUUAAAGAAAAGUUGACUAGAAUGAUGAUUAGACUUAUUUGAAAUCUAUGAUGUGGCUAUCUUUUAUUUUCAUGGGACAAGAAAAUAAAUAGAGUCGGAUGGGCGAUAGAUACAUGAUUGGAGGAGGUCAAGUGAGCAUGGAAUACGAGAUUGAAGUUGUUGGGAAAAUUGUACAAAAUAAACUUGUUUCGUCUUCACAAUUCAAAAAUAAAACAUUUUCUAAAAAGUUGUGGAUGUGCCUUUCUCGGCCAAGUUCGAGACUAAGAUUUUCGUUUAAACGUUUUAAAUUCAAAAUGAAGUGUGUUGGACAAUUAUGAAAAUAUCAUUGAAAUUAAAAUAACUCAUCAUCUUCACAUUUAUCCUAUGUCCCCAACUAUUCACUUAGUUUUUCCCCUGAAAUGGGAGGUCUAUAGAGUCGCUAUUGAUGAAUUUCCUUCACUAUGCAGAUCUAAGGACAAUCUCAUGUGAACAUGAAUUCAUAGUUUCGCUUAGUGUUAAAGUCAAGUUACCUAUGUCAUCAGUAAUAGAAAUAGUCAGUUUUAAUCCGUUAACAAUGUUAUAAUGUAAAAAUGACGAUUUUGCGGUUUGGUCUUUAUAAUCUAAUUGCAUACGAUACCCCCACUCACAUGUAUCUGCAUGAGCAUUUUGGGGCACACCACUUGUACUAACUACAAAGUGGGUCGCAUCCAUAAUGUCCCUAAAAUAAGUCAAGGUCAUUAAAGUCAAAAUAGUCAGUUUUAAACAGUAAACAGUGUUAUAAUGUAAAAUUGACUAUUUCAUGAUCCGGCGUAUGCAAUGCUCUUUUACAUAGGAUGUCCCCACUCACGUAUCUCUACACGAAUGAUUUGAAAUCACAUAGCUUAUACUAAAUACAAAGCAGGUCACACCUAUAGUAUCUCCAAAAAGUGUAUUUAUGUGCAAGAAGGAAGUUUGCACACUAGAAACCAAACUGAGUAGUUUAAUCAACAAAAGUAUGGUAGUAACUAUGAAGUUUGUGGUUCAACUCCAUAGUUUUAGGUGCCUUUUUCAUAGAAUUUCAAAAUUGCAUCAUUGUUAUCAUUUGACUUAAUGGGUUGGGGCGUGUCCAAGCUGAAUAUCCUUGCUUCCACUAGAUCCAUUUUGGUCUGAAGUAGCACCUGUCGGCUCAAAUAUUAUUUUUUCUUGACUCAACUGUUGAUAUUAAUAUUAAGAAAUAGGCUUCUAACUUAUUUCAUGUGAUUUCUUGUGCCAAAAAACACCCAUUUCUAGAAGAUUCGAAACUUUCACCUAUCCCAGCUCGUUUUCUUAAAUUGUCUGAAAAAAAAAUACUAUUUUACCUGAUUUUUUAAAUAUGCCGCAUUCAUCACAAAAAAGAAAGAAAGAAAGAAAGAUUGUUACGUUGUUGUUAUUAUUAUAAAGGUAAGGGGGAAAAGUGGCUUCCUGCCAACUUAAUAUUCCAUCAAUAUAACUUUCCUAGUGCGUUUGGGAAACUUUGGAUUAUUCUCAAGAUGUAAUGAAUCGGAUUGAUUGGGAAUAUAAAUAUACACUAAUACCCCUUGAUGUUCUGCACCUUUGUUCGAGAUUUCACCAAACUUAUUUCGUCAACUAAUCAGAAAGAAUACAUAUUUUGGAAUUGCUACGGUUGGUAAGUGUUGUGAGGAAGAUAAAAAAGUAAAAUUACAAAUUUUUAAAAUAUUCAUUCGCUUCGUCUCACAACUAAACUGCAUCACAUGUCUUCUUGCUCCGUUGGCAAUGCUCCCUUUUCUAUAGUCCACCCUCCAACAACAUAAACAAUGACAACAAGCGAAGUUAUUUCCUCUUUCUCCAACAACGCACAAGGCCGACAGCACCACCAUGUAGAGUUCUUUCCACAUCAAACCAACUAAACGCUUAUGACAAGCGUGAGAAAGUGAAGAAGAUAAAUACCGACUUAAUAACUAUCGUCAACAACAGGUUAAAAAGCUGGCCCAAUUUCAUUUUUGGUUCCUUAAAAGAAUAAAUCUCAUUUCCUCGACUAAAUGGAUUGAUAUAGUCAAUGUCAUACGUUUCAAUUCAAUCCGUUUAGUUAGACGGUUGUUUCAGGACAGUUUUAUAUCUUUCUCAAACCAAUACAUUACACAAAACAAAGUAAAGCCAUGAAAGAACAAAUGGGUGGAAAAAGGAGGGGAAAAAUAACCUUCAACACUAAAAUAUAACUAGGAAACAAACUAAACAAUACAUACAGAAAAACUUAUCAGGAC